rnacentral:rRNA from 1 species
UGAGGAAUAUUGGUCAAUGGACGAGAGUCUGAACCAGCCAAGUAGCGUGAAGGAUGAAGGUUCUAUGGAUUGUAAACUUCUUUUAUACGGGAAUAAACGAAUCCACGUGUGGAUUUUUGCAUGUACCGUAUGAAUAAGGAUCGGCUAACUCCGUGCCAGCAGCCGCGGUAAUACGGAGGAUCCGAGCGUUAUCCGGAUUUAUUGGGUUUAAAGGGAGCGUAGAUGGGUUGUUAAGUCAGUUGUGAAAGUUUGCGGCUCAACCGUAAAAUUGCAAUUGAUACUGGCAGUCUUGAGUACAGUUGAGGUAGGCGGAAUUCGUGGUGUAGCGGUGAAAUGCUUAGAUAUCACGAAGAACUCCGAUUGCGAAGGCAGCUUACUAACCUGUAACUGACAUUGAUGCUCGAAAGUGUGGGUAUCAAACAGGAUUAGAUACCCUGGUAGUCCACACGGUAAACGAUGAAUACUCGCUGUAGGCGAUAUACAGUCUGCGGCCAAGCGAAAGCAUUAAGUAUUCCACCUGGGGAGUACGCCGGCAACGGUGAAACUCAAAGGAAUUGACGGGGGCCCGCACAAGCGGAGGAACAUGUGGUUUAAUUCGAUGAUACGCGAGGAACCUUACCCGGGCUUAAAUUGCAACCGAAUAUGGCGGAAACGCUAUAGCUAGCAAUAGCGGUUGUGAAGGUGCUGCAUGGUUGUCGUCAGCUCGUGCCGUGAGGUGUCGGCUUAAGUGCCAUAACGAGCGCAACCCUUGCCGAUAGUUACUAACAGGUUAUGCUGAGGACUCUGUCGGGACUGCCAUCGUAAGAUGUGAGGAAGGUGGGGAUGACGUCAAAUCAGCACGGCCCUUACGUCCGGGGCUACACACGUGUUACAAUGGGGGGUACAGAGGGCUGCUACCACGCAAGUGGAUGCCAAUCCCAAAAACCUCUCUCAGUUCGGAUUGAAGUCUGCAACCCGACUUCAUGAAGCUGGAUUCGCUAGUAAUCGCGCAUCAGCCACGGCGCGGUGAAUACGUUCCC